rfam:Candidatus Pacearchaeota archaeon CG1_02_39_14 cg1_0.2_scaffold_1373_c, whole genome shotgun sequence.
GCGGUAUUAGUUUAGUGGUAGAACGUUAGGUUGCCAAUCUGGAGGCGGGGGUUCGAUUCCCCCAUACCGCA